rnacentral:ncRNA from 1 species
CCGUAAGGACGACCUUACGCAUCCGCGACAAACGGGGACGGCCCC